AUUGAACGCUGGCGGCAUGCUUUACACAUGCAAGUCGAACGGCAGCACGGGAGUAAUCCUGGUGGCGAGUGGCGAACGGGUGAGUAAUAUAUCGGAACGUGCCCAGUCGUGGGGGAUAACGCAGCGAAAGCUGUGCUAAUACCGCAUACGAUCUCUGGAUGAAAGCGGGGGACUCGCAAGGGCCUCGCGCGAUUGGAGCGGCCGAUGGCAGAUUAGGUAGUUGGUGGGAUAAAAGCUUACCAAGCCGACGAUCUGUAGCUGGUCUGAGAGGACGACCAGCCACACUGGGACUGAGACACGGCCCAGACUCCUACGGGAGGCAGCAGUGGGGAAUUUUGGACAAUGGGCGAAAGCCUGAUCCAGCAAUGCCGCGUGCAGGAUGAAGGCCUUCGGGUUGUAAACUGCUUUUGUACGGAACGAAAAGACUCUGGUUAAUACCUGGGGUUCAUGACGGUACCGUAAGAAUAAGCACCGGCUAACUACGUGCCAGCAGCCGCGGUAAUACGUAGGGUGCAAGCGUUAAUCGGAAUUACUGGGCGUAAAGCGUGCGCAGGCGGUGAUGUAAGACAGAUGUGAAAUCCCCGGGCUCAACCUGGGAACUGCAUUAGUGACUGCAUCGCUGGAGUGCGGCAGAGGGGGAUGGAAUUCCGCGUGUAGCAGUGAAAUGCGUAGAUAUGCGGAGGAACACCGAUGGCGAAGGCAAUCCCCUGGGCCUGCACUGACGCUCAUGCACGAAAGCGUGGGGAGCAAACA
rnacentral:rRNA from 1 species